rnacentral:rRNA from 1 species
GACGAACGCUGUCGGCGUGCUUAACACAUGCAAGUCGAACGGAAAGGCCCUGCUUUUGUGGGGUGCUCGAGUGGCGAACGGGUGAGUAACACGUGAGUAACCUGCCCUUGACUUUGGGAUAACUUCAGGAAACUGGGGCUAAUACCGGAUAGGAGCUCCUGCUGCAUGGUGGGGGUUGGAAAGUUUCGGCGGUUGGGGAUGGACUCGCGGCUUAUCAGCUUGUUGGUGGGGUAGUGGCUUACCAAGGCUUUGACGGGUAGCCGGCCUGAGAGGGUGACCGGCCACAUUGGGACUGAGAUACGGCCCAGACUCCUACGGGAGGCAGCAGUGGGGAAUGUUACACAAUGGGCGGAAGCCUGAUGCAGCAACGCCGCGUGCGGGAUGACGGCCUUCGGGUUGUAAACCGCUUUCGCCUGUGACGAAGCGUGAGUGACGGUAAUGGGUAAAGAAGCACCGGCUAACUACGUGCCAGCAGCCGCGGUGAUACGUAGGGUGCGAGCGUUGUCCGGAUUUAUUGGGCGUAAAGGGCUCGUAGGUGGUUGAUCGCGUCGGAAGUGUAAUCUUGGGGCUUAACCCUGAGCGUGCUUUCGAUACGGGUUGACUUGAGGAAGGUAGGGGAGAAUGGAAUUCCUGGUGGAGCGGUGGAAUGCGCAGAUAUCAGGAGGAACACCAGUGGCGAAGGCGGUUCUCUGGGCCUUUCCUGACGCUGAGGAGCGAAAGCGUGGGGAGCGAACAGGCUUAGAUACCCUGGUAGUCCACGCUGUAAACGGUGGGUACUAGGUGUGGGGUCCAUUCCACGGGUUCCGUGCCGUAGCUAACGCUUUAAGUACCCCGCCUGGGGAGUACGGCCGCAAGGCUAAAACUCAAAGGAAUUGACGGGGCCCCGCACAAGCGGCGGAGCAUGCGGAUUAAUUCGAUGCAACGCGUAGAACCUUACCUGGGUUUGACAUGGAUCGGGAGUGCUCAGAGAUGGGUGUGCCUCUUUUGGGGUCGGUUCACAGGUGGUGCAUGCCUGUCGUCAGCUCGUGUCGUGAGAUGUUGGGUUAAGUCCCGCAACGAGCGCAACCCUUGUUCACUGUUGCCAGCACGUUAUGGUGGGGACUCAGUGGAGACCGCCGGGGUCAACUCGGAGGAAGGUGGGGAUGACGUCAAGUCCUCAUGCCCCUUAUGUCCAGGGCUUCACGCAUGCUACAAUGGCUGGUACAGAGAGUGGCGAGCCUGUGAGGGUGAGCGAAUCUCGGAAAGCCGGUCUCAGUUCGGAUUGGGGUCUGCAACUCGACCUCAUGAAGUCGGAGUCGCUAGUAAUCGCAGAUCAGCAACGCUGCGGUGAAUACGUUCCCGGGGCU